rnacentral:rRNA from 1 species
CAUGCAAGGUCGAACGAAGGCUUCGGCCUUAGUUGGCGCACGGGUGCGUAACGCGUGGGAAUCUGCCCUUAGGUUCGGAAUAACAGCUGGAAACGGCUGCUAAUACCGGAUGAUGACGAAAGUCCAAAGAUUUAUCGCCUGAGGAUGAGCCCGCGUUGGAUUAGGUAGUUGGUGGGGUAAAGGCCUACCAAGCCGACGAUCCAUAGCUGGUCUGAGAGGAUGAUCAGCCACACUGGGACUGAGACACGGCCCAGACUCCUACGGGAGGCAGCAGU